rnacentral:rRNA from 1 species
UACGUAGGGGGCGAGCGUUAUCCGGAUUUAUUGGGUUUAAAGGGUGCGUAGGUGGUUUCUUAAGUCAGAGGUGAAAGGCUACGGCUCAACCAUAAAAUUGCCGUUGAAACUGGUUGACUUGAGUAUAUUUGAGGUAGGCGGAAUGCGUGGUGUAGCGGUGAAAUGCAUAGAUAUCACGCAGAACUCCGAUUGCGAAGGCAGCUUACUAAACUAUAACUGACACUGAAGCACGAAAGCGUGGGGAUCAA